UAAAAUGAGGGGAGAGAGAGAGGGGAAUAGGAAGAGAGCAGCAGAAUGAGAAUAGCGAAAUUGGGUUAGGAUUAUUACCUUGGAGCAGAAAAAGGGAAGAGAUGGAAAAAGAACUGAAAAAUGGUGGAUAUGCAGAUUACGACGGUUGAUUGAAGAGAAGCAAGAAAGCUGAGAAUGUAUUGGCGCUGAAGGCGCCAUGAUUCAGAUCAACAACUCAAAUGUAAUUGGAGCAGACUAGCAACUAUAGAAUUGUUGUUGUCAAUAAAUGGGUCUUUGUUUCA